AACGUUACCUCACGUUACCUGCUUACUGAUGACGUCUGGCUCCAACAUGGCAGCAUUAGUAUUGCUUAAAGAAUGGUGACUGACUUAAUUUCAUUUGGUUGGAACUGGGAGUUCCAUGAGAGGGACCUGGUUGCAGCUUGUAGAGAGGUACGAGUUCCCCAAAGCCCUGCCAGACCGCCAUGAUCGCCGUCUCCUUGGACAGGACACGGACCUGACCAGCUGGAAGACGUUGUGGAUCAGGCUGGCGCGGUCGUUGCCGCUCAGGGCUGUGUGGUUGUGAUGCAGCAGGGAGAUGAUGGAGUUCCAGCCCUCGGCGCCAUAGUGGACCAUGUAGUAGCCGC